rnacentral:rRNA from 1 species
UUCGCAAUGCCCGAAAGGGUGACGAAGCGACGUCGCGUGGGUGAGGAAGGCCUUCGGGUUGUAAAGCCCUGUCAGGAGUUAAGAAAUAUAAGUGCGCUAAUAUCGCAUUUAUUUGACGAAGGCUCCAAAGGAAGCCACGGCUAACUCUGUGCCAGCAGCCGCGGUAAUACAGAGGUGGCAAGCGUUGUUCGGAAUUAUUGGGCGUAAAGAGCACGUAGGUGGGUUUGUAAGUCAGAUGUGAAAGCCUUCUGUUCAACGGAAGAAUUGCAUCUGAAACUACAAGUCUUGAGUGUAGGAGGGGAGAAUGGAACUUCUGGUGGAGCGGUGAAAUGCGUAGAUAUCAGAAGGAACGCCGGCGGCGAAAGCGAUUCUCUGGCCUAUUACUGACACUCAGUGUGCGAAAGCUAGGGGAGCAAACGGGAUUAGAUACCCCGGUAGUCCUAGCUGUAAACGAUGGGCACUAAGUAGAGGGGUUUU